rnacentral:rRNA from 1 species
GACAGAGGAUGCAAGCGUUAUCCGGAAUGAUUGGGCGUAAAGCGUCUGUAGGUGGCUUUUUAAGUCUGCCGUCAAAUCCCAGGGCUUAACCCUGGACAGGCGGUGGAAACUACCAAGCUGGAGUACGGUAGGGGCAGGGGGAAUUUCCGGUGGAGCGGUGAAAUGCGUAGAGAUCGGCAGGAACACCCAGGGGGAAACCAGCGGACUGGGCAUCAGCUGACGCUCAGGUGCGACAGCGUGGGGAGCGAACCGG